GAGGAAAACAACACAUGCAUCAUGGCAUUGCACAUCAUCAGCAGAUAGACAGGACUAACAUCCUAUCCUAGUGCACAUGUUUUCCUAUUAUGCUUGACCCACUAAUCCUCUAUGAGCCUAACUCUAUCUAUCUAGGUCCGACCAUGUGAACCUAGGGCUCUGAUACCAAUUUGUAACAGCCCGGAAACCGAACUGCUACUGGCACUAGGAUCCAGAUCGACUUAAGGUCGCCGGGACCCGUAGUAAGCCUGUUAUACUGUCUGUGUACCUGUGACAUCCCAUACAUGAUCAUACAUUUUCUUUCAAAACAUUAAAACUUUUCUUUUCUCCAGGGCUUAACCUGUGCAUGCACUAUUUCUG
rnacentral:lncRNA from 1 species